rnacentral:rRNA from 1 species
AAUGAUGGAAUGACUCUCGGCAACGGAUAUCUCGGCUCUCGCAUCGAUGAAGAACGCAGCGAAAUGCGAUACGUGGUGUGAAUUGCAGAAUCCCGUGAACCAUCGAGUUUUUGAACGCAAGUUGCGCCCGAGGCCAUCUGGCCGAGGGCACGCCUGCCUGGGCGUCAGCU